rnacentral:rRNA from 1 species
AAUCAACGCUGGCGGCGUGCCUCAGACAUGCAAGUCGAACGCGAAAGGCCCCUUCGGGGGCCCGGUAGAGUGGCGCACGGGUGAGUAACACGUAGGUAAUUUGCCUUCGGGUGGGGAAUAACAGCCGGAAACGGCUGCUAAUACCGCAUAAUGCAGCGGCUCGACAUCGAGACAGUUGUUAAAGCGGGGGAUCGCAAGACCUCGCGCCUGAAGAGAAGCCUGCGGCAGAUAGCUUGUUGGUGAGGUAAUGGCUCACCAAGGCGACGAUCUGUAACCGGCCUGAGAGGGCGGUCGGUCACACUGACACUGACAUACGGGUCAGACUCCUACGGGAGGCAGCAGUCGGGAAUUUU